CUUUACCUACGGGACGCAGCAGUAGGGAAUAUUGCUCAAUGGGGGAAACCCUGAAGCAGCAACGCCGCGUGGAGGAUGAAGGUUUUCGGAUUGUAAACUCCUUUUGUUAGAGAAGAUAAUGACGGUAUCUAACGAAUAAGCACCGGCUAACUCCGUGCCAGCAGCCGCGGUAAUACGGAGGGUGCAAGCGUUACACGGAAUCACUGGGCGUAAAGAGCGCGUAGGCGGGAUAGCAAGGCAGAUGUGAAAUGCUAUGGCUUAACCAUAGAACUGCAUUUGAAACUGUUAUGCUAGAGUAUGGGAGG
rnacentral:rRNA from 1 species